AGAGUUUGAUCAUGGCUCAGAUUGAACGCUGGCGGCAGGCUUAACACAUGCAAGUCGAGCGGAGAUGAGGUGCUUGCACCUUAUCUUAGCGGCGGACGGGUGAGUAAUGCUUAGGAAUCUGCCUAUUAGUGGGGGACAACAUUCCGAAAGGAAUGCUAAUACCGCAUACGUCCUACGGGAGAAAGCAGGGGAUCUUCGGACCUUGCGCUAAUAGAUGAGCCUAAGUCGGAUUAGCUAGUUGGUGGGGUAAAGGCCUACCAAGGCGACGAUCUGUAGCGGGUCUGAGAGGAUGAUCCGCCACACUGGGACUGAGACACGGCCCAGACUCCCACGGGAGGCAGCAGUGGGGAAUAUUGGACAAUGGGGGGAACCCUGAUCCAGCCAUGCCGCGUGUGUGAAGAAGGCCUUAUGGUUGUAAAGCACUUUAAGCGAGGAGGAGGCUACUGAGACUAAUACUCUUGGAUAGUGGACGUUACUCGCAGAAUAAGCACCGGCUAACUCUGUGCCAGCAGCCGCGGUAAUACAGAGGGUGCUAGCGUUAAUCGGAUUUACUGGGCGUAAAGCGUGCGUAGGCGGCUUUUUAAGUCGGAUGUGAAAUCCCCGAGCUUAACUUGGGAAUUGCAUUCGAUACUGGGAAGCUAGAGUAUGGGAGAGGAUGGUAGAAUUCCAGGUGUAGCGGUGAAAUGCGUAGAGAUCUGGAGGAAUACCGAUGGCGAAGGCAGCCAUCUGGCCUAAUACUGACGCUGAGGUACGAAAGCAUGGGGAGCAAACAGGAUUAGAUACCCUGGUAGUCCAUGCCGUAAACGAUGUCUACUAGCCGUUGGGGCCUUUGAGGCUUUAGUGGCGCAGCUAACGCGAUAAGUAGACCGCCUG
rnacentral:rRNA from 1 species